rnacentral:hammerhead_ribozyme from 1 species
AUCCAGUUGACGAGUGUCAAACAGGAUGUAAGGCGCGUCCUGGAU